CAUGAGGGAUUCAUUAGCUGAGGAAGGCUGGCAAUACCAGGAUGUCCUGGGCCCCUCAUCUGACAAGCAGAGUGCAGGUCUCCUGCUCUUCUUUCUCCAAAUCUGAGGCUAUUUUGUGAGGUUGGGCAGAGGGGUUUCUUAGGUAUUACAGGGAGGGCUGCAGGAUUCUGGAGGAUACUAUGCACGUUGGAUUACCUUUACAUCAAGUCUGAAUGGGGAAAAGUUGCAGCUGCUCAAGGUGUAUUCAGGCUGUGUUGACUUACAUCUGGUCUCAGUCUUUGUUUUUAAAGUCCUUGGAAGACUUGGUGGCGAAGCGGUGAGGUGGGAUGAAAGGCAAGCAGGAAAACGGGGAGCAAAGGAAAGGGAAUCUGGACACAGUGACCACCCUGCCCUUAGGUCUCAGUCAUGUAUGAGCCAAAUUGUGGCUGAGGGAGCCUUGGACAGUGGGACCUCCCUGUCACCAGGAAGCAGGUCUUGGCCCUGGAGGCUGUUGCUCUUGUAGAGCUGUCAGGGGAAAGGCGGGCUGUCCUGCAAGCAGGAGGUUGCCCUCCAUAUUGCCUCCCCUUUGAUUCUGAUGCUUCUUCACCUGCUGGCAAUGAUGGCACAGCAUGGCUGCCCUGUAAUCGGGCCCAGGCCCAUUGCUGCAAGUCGCUGCUGACAGAGCAGCCACCUUGUUAAAAGAGUGCAGGCUGCUCCCUGCUUAGAUGCAAGACUGAGCUGUGCAGUGCUUUGUACGUUGGAGCUGCCUUAUAGUACAUGUGUGAGAACACUGCCGUAGCUGGCUGGUGGGGGAGAGGCCAUCCUGUAAGCGGGGUUUGUGUCUCUCCCUCCCCUCAUUUCUGCUGCUCAGGGCAGGGAACUCUGGUUCUUUGAGGGCUGCGACCUUCCUGUAGCUUGGGCUCAGGUCUCUAGACUUUUUUUUCUGCUGGCCUCGGUGCUUUUCAGAAGCUCCCCCUGCUGUGAGAAAAAGCUAAAGUCAUGGACCUUUUAUCCUCCAGAUGUGGGGCAGCUUUGACCCUCAUCAAGACCGCUGGAGGCACCUGUCAGCUGGCAUUCAGGGCUUUGCACAUUUUCUCUGGGCAUCAAGCCCCAGCAGCCAGCUGUGUGGAGGGUGCAACCCCUGUAAGCAGGGUUGCCAGUGAUUGUGGUCACCAUUCCUGGUGCCACCCUAGCAGGUCUGUCCAGAGUCCUGGCCCAUCGCGAUCUGCUUCUGGCUGGCCCGGAUGUUGGCAGCCAAGCCCGCAAAUGUCUGCCCUCCCGCCUUUCAGAGGACAGAGUGGUGCAGGUCCAGGUAAGGGCAAAAGAGUGAGACAGGCUGGGGCCUGCAGAUGCAUCUUCAAUUGCGCUGACUUAUAUCCCAUUUUUGCCUUGUUCUUUCUGCCUCUGGAAGAAGAAGUAAAGAUGACAGACAACUAGGACUUAACUGAUCCCAGAGCAGAAAACCAUGCCAGGCAACCAGGAAGCAAAGCCCCCAGAAAGAGAAGCAGGGACAGACGAGCAGGAGUUAGCCAUUAAGGAGGGAGUAGACCCAUGCCAGCCCACCCCGAGGGAAGGUCCCUGAAGGGCAGCUGGAGAAGAAUGAAUGGAAGCAGGAAAUGAAGCUCAGGAACAAAUAGUGUUCCUCUUCACAUGAAGACUUUGUCCUAUUGCAACUAUAGCCAACAUAAGGAUUGGAUACUGCCAGGCUCAUCAGCUGUUCCAUGUAAAUAGGGGAUAUGGCACCAUCUCCCGGGAGCAGGCUGAGACGAGCAACUUGGAACUCAGUCGAGACCACAGCUUCAUAGCUACAAUCUCGUGCUCGGCUGCUCCAGCCAUCUACAUUGAGAGAAGACCAAACCAAUGAUGGAGACGGCUUCUUGACUCAACUUCCCCGCCAGAUGCCCUGUGCAUGCGGUUUGUGGUGGUGGGUGGCGGUAGUUCUCCCUGCAAGCUGUGAGCACGGGAGUUGCUGAAUCCUGUUCCUAAUAAAGCUAUAGCUCUGUUUCCCACCCCACUGGGCUCUGCUGAAUGGUGACUUGAGGACAGGACCCCAGAGGCACAGAGGUCUGAGUGCGUUACCCCAUCCCCGAACCCAAUGGCACAGAUUAAACACUGUGGUGUCAGAAGUGACCUAUCUCUCGGUGGAGUCACCAGCAGCCUGAUUAAGGGGGUUACAGUUUUCAUUCAAAGAGAAAAAAGUGGAGCAUUUCCAACCUCCACCAGCAUUAUCCUUUAUUGGAAAUCUUGGGGUGAACUGGAGGAGAUUGGAACAGAAGCUGCGAUUAUCCCUUGCAGUCACAAAGGCCAAGGAAGAGGCAGAGGAUUAUGAAAUUGUAGUCAUGCUUCACUGCACUGGGGAUAAAGCCCUAGAAAUCUACACCAAUGUGCCAGGGGUGUUUGCAGACCCUCCUAACAGCAUCCCUGCAGAGGUGCGUGCAACAUUUGAGCAGUACUGCGAACCCAGAAAAAACCCUGUCUUUGAAAGGUCUCAGUUCUGGCAACUUGGCUACAAUGCAGCUGCAGGCAGAGAUAAUUUUGUUACAGAGCUGGUAAGCAGAGCACAGCAUUGUGAAUAAUGUGGACUUGCCGAGGAUGAGAUGUUGAGGGACGACGUUGUCUUCAGCAUAACCGCCUGCAGCUCCUUGGAAGGAGAA